ensembl:snRNA U4 U4 spliceosomal RNA
AGCUUUGCCCAGUGACAAUAUCGUAGCCAAUGAGGUUUAUCCAAAGCGCGAUUAUUGCUAAUUGAAAUCUAAUGGCUCUUCUCUUCUCUCUUUGCCAGAGCCACCUGCAAUCCUUCCUGACUCAUUACCAUUAGAGCCUGGUAAGGUUUCUGGAAGUAACCCACCACCAUGACGAUGCCCACAGGAGUUU